GAGGAAUUAGUUAAAAUAUAAUAUAGGUUUGUCAAACCUAAGUUACUAUAUUGAUUAGUAUUUCUUG
rnacentral:tRNA from 1 species